CUAGCUGUAAACGAUGGAUACUAGGCGUUGAGAGUAUCGACCCUCUCAGUGUCGUAGCUAACGCGUUAAGUAUCCCGCCUGGGGAGUACGCGCGCAAGCGUGAAACUCAAAGGAAUCGACGGGGGCCCGCACAAGCGGUGGAGUAUGUGGUUUAAUUCGAUGCAACGCGAAGAACCUUACCAGGGCUUGACAUGUCCGGAACCCUGCCCAAAGGCGGGGGUGCCUACGGGAACCGGAACACAGGUGGUGC
rnacentral:rRNA from 1 species